rnacentral:rRNA from 1 species
AUUGAACGCUGGCGGCAGGCCUAACACAUGCAAGUCGAGCGAGCGGCGGACGGGUGAGUAAUGUCUGGGAAACUGCCUGAUGGAAGUGGAUAACUACUGGAAACCGUAGCUAAUACCCCAUACCAUCAGAUGUUCCCAGAUGGGAUUAGCUAGUUGGGGGGGUAAUGGCUCACCUAGGCGACGAUCCCUAGCUGGUCUGAGAGGAUGACCAGCCACACUGGAACUGAGACACGGUCCAGACUCCUACGGGAGGCAGCAGUGGGGAAUAUUGCACAAUGGGCGAAAGCCUGAUGCAGCCAUGCCGCGUGUGUGAAGAAGGCCUUCGGGUUGUAAAGCACUUUCAGCGGGGAGGCGUUACCCGAAGAAGAAGCACCGGCUAACUCCGUGCCAGCCGCCGCGGUAAUUC